rnacentral:misc_RNA from 1 species
GGAAAAGAUGUCCAGGAAAAGUACUAUUCUUCUCCCCCAUUCACAGCACUCCAAAGAAUGGAUUGGAAAUGGCAGAGUUGAGCUCCGAUCCAGCAGAGUUGAGGACUGCCAUAUCAACCUUCUCCCUAGGUAGAAACAGAAACUCACCACCUUCAAUUUUCUCAAACCCACAUACCUCCAGAAACUCGAUUCCUCCAUUAAGGUUACCAACUCUUUCCUGAAAUGUUGGGUUAUUAAGACGGAUCUUUCUGAAUUUCU